rnacentral:rRNA from 1 species
UACGUAGGGAGCAAGCGUUGUCCGGAAUCAUUGGGCGUAAAGCGCGCGUAGGCGGCUUUGCAAGUCGGGUGUGAAAUCCCCAGGCCUAACCUGGGAACUGCAUUCGAGACUGCAUGGCUAGAGUAUCGGAGAGGGAAGUGGAAUUUCAGGUGUAGCGGUGAAAUGCGUAGAUAUCUGAAGGAACAUCAGUGGCGAAAGCGACUUCCCUGGACGAAUACUGACGCUCAUGUGCGAAAGCGU